rnacentral:rRNA from 1 species
AACGAACGCUGGCGGCAUGCCUAACACAUGCAAGUCGAACGAGACCUUCGGGUCUAGUGGCGCACGGGUGCGUAACGCGUGGGAACCUGCCCUUAGGUUCGGAAUAACUCCCCGAAAGGGGUGCUAAUACCGGAUAAUGUCUUCGGACCAAAGAUUUAUCGCCUUUGGAUGGGCCCGCGUUGGAUUAGCUAGUUGGUAGGGUAAAAGCCUACCAAGGCGACGAUCCAUAGCUGGUCUGAGAGGAUGAUCAGCCACACUGGGACUGAGACACGGCCCAGACUCCUACGGGAAGCAGCAGUGGGGAAUAUUGGACAAUGGGCGAAAGCCUGAUCCAGCAAUGCCGCGUGAGUGAUGAAGGCCUUAGGGUUGUAAAGCUCUUUUACCCGGGAUGAUAAUGACAGUACCGGGGGAAUAAGCUCCGGCUAACUCCGUG